UUUUUCUUCUUCCUUCAGAUCAGUCGCCGCUCCCUCUCUCUCGUCCUCUUCUUCUCAGACCUCUCUAUGCCAUUGAAACACACACACAUACAUAUACAUAUAUGUAUAUAGGCAGUUCAUAAAAAAAAAAGCGGUGUGGUGCGGUUUUCAUCGGUUGGCGAAACCCACCACCGCUCGUUGUACCUGGUGGCUUCGGUACUUGGAAAACGCUGCCGAUCACUACACCGGACACCUGCGGUGGAGCUCUGAGAUGGGCGGCUCGGUGCGGUGAGGGGCGGUUCCGUCGGUGGCGGGCGGUGGCUGAACAGGCCUAGUCACUCUCUCACUUUCUCUCACCAAUAUCCAUACCCAACCCAUAUAUAAAAAAAAAAACCCUAACUCUCUCACUUUCACUCACUCUCUCUCUCACUUGAGCCUCCAUCCUCACCGUCACUCUCAUCUGUCAUCUCACGCCUCACUCUCUGAAAGCAAGCUCUCUCAAGCUCACCCUCUCUGAAAUCUUGAAUAUCCCUCGCUCUCUCUGCCUCACUCUCACGGUCUCACCUCUGAAUUUUUUUUUCCCUUCUCAUCAUUCCUCUCGGCGUCUGAAGCUGUAUUCUGGGUUUUUUUUUUUUUUUUUUUCCUUCGCAUAAUCUUUCUCGCCCUCGCCCUCUCUGCUCUCUGCUUCUCGGCGUCUGAAGAUUCUCAGUUCAUGUUCUCGACUUCAUCUCAGGUAUCAUUGGAUAAGAAGGAAAAAGAAACUGCUGUUCACUUUGCUAAGAGGCUUCUCAUUUCUUCAAAUUUACAAGUUCAGAGACAAGCAUCCAAAGGUUCUCGGUUCCCUUGGAGAGUGCCCCUAUACUAGCAACUUAGGUCUAAACACAAGGAUUUUGUUAGUCAACUUGAAGUUGGCUUGGGAAUAGGGAAUUUUCUGUUAAGUUUGCUGGCUGCAGUAAUUUUGGAUAUGAAAAGUACCUCUGUUGCCUCUUUGACAAAGGUACGCCUCUUUGAAUAGAGGGGUACGGUCAGAGACUUGAUAAAGCUUGGUAUGGCUGUUAUAUUCCUUCGUCUUCACCUUCGUCAUAUUGCCAAGGAGUGGUUCAUUUGGACUCAGAUAGUGUUCUUAAAGAACCAGAUUUCCAAGUGGAAGGCAGAUCUGGCUUUCAUGCUGUUAGAGAGGGUUCAGUUGCAAGAAAGUAUUCCAGAUGAGGCAAUCUUGAACGGUGAUGCCACCUAUGUCUUGCUUUGAUCUUCAUUUCUCUUUUAUCUAUUGGGUUCAUGUAUGUUGUUGGAAACUGGUUUUGUGAGCUAGUUGUAAUGUGUGGUGGGGCUGCUCCCUAGGAUGAUAUUUUUCCUUGUUUCUAGGCUAUGGGUAUGUACUUAGGCUGCACUUAAACCACUUUUAAUAUAUUUUGCUUUUGAUCAGCUUGCUACAAUUGGUUAGUGUAGCUCAUAUUUUGUAAGGAAGCAUGAUAAAUUACAUGCAUUUGGAAUUGAAAAGCUACUUGUGCCUCGUGAAUGUGCAUAGAUUUACAUUCAGGCACCUAGUGAAUGAGUUGUACCUUCCUUUGACAGGUUGUGAAUA